UAUUAAGGGAACGAAGGUCAACUCCACAGCCCGGGGGGCUGACAGACGAGCAGCCCCGCACCUCGCCCCACCUCCCUCACCUCAGCGGCGCCGCGGAGGCCACGACUCUGGGUGGCUGUUAAGGGAGCGGCUCUGUGGGCUCUGUUGCCCUGCAGCUCCCAAAUCAGCGUCGUGAUGAGCUUCGUGGAGCUCCGCUGGGAGCCAGACCCAGCUGCCGAGCCGCGGAGCUGCGCCUGGAACAACCCUGUAGCGAGCACGUCAUGGCUGCCGUGCUCUCGGAUUGAGGCUGACGUCUGCCCGCCAGGGGGAGCCGCCGCCGCCAUGAGGGAGGUGGUGUUGGGGUGGUGGUAGGCGUGGAACGGGGACGAGAGAGGGCUGAUCCCUCCCAGAAAGUGAGGGGGGAAGAGCUUUCUCAGUGCCGGGGUGGUGGAGGAGUGGAACCGUGAGCCUUUCCUCGUGGACUCCUUCUCCCGCCGGGGUUACCACAGACAGCAGGGAUCGAAAGCAACUAGGGCAGCGCUGUGCUGUGAGGUAACACGAUGGAUCGUUUUGCUAACCAGGGAGCUGGCUGUUGUCUUUCUUCAUCUGCUUGUUCUGUCAGUGUGGAAGCUUUGUACUCAAGGUAGGCAAUAGAUACCUGCUAGUUUCAGUCAAACCUGAUGUGGUCCCUGCUGCACUUCUGUCUGCAAGUGAUUUCUCGGACCCUAAUCCAGUGGAAGAGUUGCAUACAUCCCUAACUUGAAGGAUAUUCAUCUGAAAGCAUGUCCCGAAGCUUGGGGUAACUCCAAACUCUUGUCCAAGCCAAGGAAAGAAACAGUUGAAACUGCAGGAGGAGGAGGAGAAAGAAGCUCUAUGUCAGCUAAAUGAUGGAAGAAAUGUAAGAAGGGAAAACUCUAAGAGGAAGUGAGGAAGAAUAUGGUGUGUUUUUUAUCGCUGAGGAAAGAGCACUGCAGGAAACUGAGCGCUGAAUGGUUUUGAAAGGAAUAUGAUUUCUUCCAUUGGGAUUUCCUCCUGGACUUGGGCUUUUGGGCUUUUUUACUUUUUGUAUAAGAUAACCAUGCUUUAAGAAGUGGGAGUUUUGUUCUGUAUCUUUUCCUGUUACAGGGUAACCAAAACUACUAGAUCUCCUCGAAGGGCUGUUUCCAGUUUCUGUUGUCCCCGACAAAAAAACACACUGAAGGUAAAUAUGGGAAACACCUGUUUAAUGGAUUGGAUUACAGUCAGUGGUUACUGAAUGAUAACUCACUCUGUUAUAUUUGAUUAAACACAGGCCAUUCUCAAGCAAAACAAUAAAACUUACCUGAAGAGUUUAAACAUGCUGGUGUCCACCUUCCACAGCAUCUCGCGUUGGCUCAAUGUGAAUUUGUUUCUCAGUAACUUGUUUAGGAUUUGAAAGCUAUGAAGACCCUAUCUUCCACAUGAUCUGAUGUUCAGUGUUAGAUGGGGCUGCUAGCUUGCUUAAUUAGUUCAGCUAACGAUUCAGUUUCUGAAACCUAAUGCCAAUUUGUAUUUCCACAGCAGCUCUCGGUGUGUUUCUCUAAAGCAACUUCUUAAUUAGAGGCUCCCUCUUCUGCAGUUCAUAGCUGCAGUCAUUACCCAUGGAGCAACUCCCUGUAUUCCUUUCAUUCAGGGCUCAAGUGGCAUCUUAUAUGAUUUCCAUUGUAGGAGCCUUAGUAAUGUUUUCCAUACAGCUUCUUGUGUACAGCUGGAACACCUGGCAUCAGGAACCUCUAGGUUGGCUGGUGCUUCCUGCUCUAUAAAUUACCCUCCUCCUCUGUUCAGCUUUGGUAAUGUGUUCAACAUGAACAAGGUUCAGGAAUGCAUUGGCUUAGUUCUCUCCUGUCCGUAAUUCGAAAGUUUGGCCGCAGCACUUGCAUAGCUCUAACAAUACACAAUUGCAUAUUUUACUUAGGACCAUCAGUGCGCUGCCAUUUGGUGAUCUGCAUCUAGUUUGACAUAAUGACAUCUGACGUGUAAGUGCAGCUAAAGCAUGGAAUUCAGUUCCUCCAUGAGGAUGACACACCUCUACUUUAUAUUAUCAGUGCUUGCUGUUGAUGGAAACCACAAUGAAUGUGAGUACAGCGAGGCAGUGUUUCGGCAGUAGCGAUAGCGGGUCACCUCCAUUGGCGCUAUGAGUGGAGCACACAGGAUUUCAUGUUAGCAAAAACACUGGUGGUGACUGAAAAGGUUCUGUAGAUGAGAAUUGGCUUUAUCCAAUAGUGUUAUUGCACUCUUAGGAUCUCUUGUAGUUGCCAUGGAUAUAACGGGAAGCAUUACUCUGCUGUCUAAAUAAGUAGCAAGUGUUUAGAGCCAGAGAGACGCUUAGUAUGGAAACUGGGCUCCAUGUAAGUGUACGAUGUGAAUGGCACGUUGGAGCAUUUUUUAAGUAGAAGAGUGAAAAUUACCGUUAUGCUGAAAAUUGUUAGUCGGUUUCAAAGAAAAUUGUUAAUUUUGACAUCUUGUUCUGGAUUACUUUUUAACACUCAAACUGCACUGUCUGUACAAGGUUAGCAAAGGUUGCCUCUAAGAUGUAUAGAGAAAAGCACUGAGUGGUGGAUGUCUGUUCCUUGUUACUACUGGUAGCAAAACUUACAGGCACUGCGGAGUAUUUAUUAGGUAAAACACAGGUUUAGUACUUUAUUAGAAUGCAAUUUUCUCAGCAUUACAGAAGAGGACACUGAACAGAGAGGAAUACUGCAAGCAACUCCCAUAGAACGCAGCAGUCUCCUUUAAUACCACACAUGCUUUGUCUGAUCACUAGCAGUACUGCAACAAAACACAGCUUUAACUUCACGUCAUGGUUUUAUUCAAUAGAUCCCCUUUUCUUCAGAAGCACAUUUUUACAGAUUAAGACUUUCUCCACAAAGCUUAGAGUCUUGUUUUACACACAAUCAGCAGGGCUACGAAACUUGAAGAGGGAAGAUGCGACAAAGCCACUGCCCUCACUGUCAGCUUCAGUUUGAAGAUCUCAGUACCUUUGUUCCAAAAUACACCCAGUACAGCGGCAGUUUAGAGCUUUACCCAUUUUCCAUAGCAACAGCCUUGAGAACAGAGUAAAAAAAGGCCUAUAAAUGAGACAACAGGACACCCGCUACCAAUUUGUAUUUAUUACAUGAUCAGGUUUCAAGAUGACACAUACAGCUGUGUGAGCUUUUAUUACUGUGGUGUACUGUGCAAAUGCAGUGCAGCUUCAGUGAUGACACGGGCUAUGAGAAAUCAUCACACAAUACCUAGAAACUGAUCGAGUAUGCAAGGAGGGGAAAAAAGAUAAUCACAGAUUGGUGAAAAACUGUAUGAGAACAACUUCAUAGGAAUUUGUCCACAGCCACCCUCUAUGGCAGACUAUGAGCUCCUCCCUUACCCUUCAGGGCUACCACUCAAACUGCUGCUGUAAUACAAACAGGCCUAAGAGCUGCAAAGCAAGAGGACAACUGUUAAAAGGGGCAGCAGAACUUGUGGCGAAACAGAUCAGUGUAAUAGGAAGAGGGUUUUCCAGGAAAAGAUCCUACGUGUUACACAACCAUUACAGGGUUUCACUUGCAUCACGCACUGCUUGGGAAACCAAAACACUGAAGGUACAGGGAGCGAACAUACCACUUCAUUAUGUUCUCAGCAAGUUCCCCCCUUUCUCCAGUGUAUGGAGAAUUACCAGAACAAGCUCAGCUGGCAGAACUCUUUACAGGCAUCAAGUUUUGCCUUUCUGUUUGGCUUCACCACCUCCUCCCCCCUACCCAAGUAACAUGAUUUCACAUACAGUCAUCAAAACUAAAGAAUGCACUCUUCCCCCACUACAUAUGACACAAUACUAAGUGCAAUUCCUCUCAUUUCCUAAACACUUCGCAACACUUGAAGUAGUAGGGAAAGCAAAUUAAAUUCAUUGUAAAUGACAGAGAACAGAGCCUGAGUAGCCAGUACCAACACUGAUUUAUCUUCACCACCACUUUGUACAUAUCAGUCAGUCACUGUACUUCAAUCAUGCAGUGUAUAUUUUUUCCUCCCACAACAGUUACCAACAAGUUAUGUUGUCUAUCACAUCAUUGCUGCAGAAAGGGCUUGCUGAGGCAAGCUGGGCCUGUCAUUGACAACCUCAUCUUCUGUUUUCUUAUGACACUGCAACAUACCUGAACCACAGCAUUACUCUGUUUUCCAAGGAAGGGAAUAGAGGGACAGAAUACCUACUUCUCAUAUAUUAAAAACACACACAUGAACUGAAAAUUAAGGAGCAGUAAUUGAUCCCUGUAGUUUUUGUUCAGAACUGCUGGUUUCCGGCAUUAGGUUGACUCAAGAUUCAGCUCCUGUCACUGAACUCAUAGCCAACAUCGUGACUAUCUUGCUUUAAUUUCUAAGAACGUACCAUGAAAAAAAAAAGUCACAGAAGUUUAACAGUAGAACAACGAGCUUUCAAGACUUCAAACACCCCAUAAGUUUGUAUUUGCAUGCCACCACUCCCCUCCCCCAAGAAAAACUCCCAUCCCCAUUACCAGUGGAUCAAAACAACAUACAUUUGCCAUGCGAAUGACGUAAAGUAAAUGUGAAACUAUUGAAAGAGCAUAAAUAUCAAGCAGAGAGGUUGUUAUUACUUCCUUCUCAAGUAUUUUUUGCAAUUGUGUGAUCUGAAUGUCGACCUGUCAACUGUAAGGAAAAACGUCCAUUAACUAGAUCUAAAGUUCAUGGAAAAAAGGCAAAUUCCUAGCCAAGUUGUCAACUCGUUCUGUUGGAAAGAGGAAAGUAAAGCAGAUUUUGCACAUCUUCGUUUCCUGCUUCCGUUGCCGCCCACUGGAUACCUAUGCAAAUAUUUCAAGGUUCAACUUAACAUACCAAAAAGAGAAGUCAUUUUAAAUCCUUAAAUAGUGUGUUGGGGGUUAUAACAAAGGUUAAAUACAUGACUCUACUGAAACCAGGCAUAGACAUUUCAAGUUUAGGAUAAACGAUGUAA